UAAAGUGUUCGGAUGUUUUCUAGACAUUUUUUUCAAGUUAGUUUUCAACACCUGACCAGACAGAGGAAAUGAUUUGGAAAUGACCCAGAUUGCAAAAGUAGCAACGAGGCACGAGGCAGUGCCACUGGGGGAUUCCUACGAUGCUGACAGAGCUAGAUUCAUCCAAGCAAUAAUCAGAAGCCCUGGGAAUUCUUGGCUCACCUGCCUGAACACUGUCGUUCUCAAAGAAACAAAAGCUUCUGGAAGGAACUUCUGCCCUGGACAAACUGGGGAACAAGUGAGAUCAUGCUGGAAAGUUGCUGACAGGGAGGGAAAGGUGAAGAGGGAAAUGGGCUCAUGAUUGUGGGCAAAUAUGCAAAUGAGGGUAUAUUCAAGAGCUGGAAUGCUGUUGGUUUGGCACUAAAGCCUGUGAGAAAUGCUUAACUGAGAAGUGGGAUGUGGGAUGUGGUCAGUGGGCAGCCAGAUGAAAGCAACAAAGACCUACACAUAGUCUCCGGGGACCAGGAGAAAAGCAAAGGUGGCCCAGAUGAUGACAUGGGUUUGGAUUCCUUCCAUGAACAAAUGAAGCAGAAGAAAGCCUGUAUAGAGGAAGGAGUGGGGAAGCCUGGAAAUUUCCAAGUUUUGUUACUUG
rnacentral:lncRNA from 1 species